rnacentral:rRNA from 1 species
AACGCUGGCGGCGUGCCUAAUACAUGCAAGUCGAACGGUCUUUUCUAUGGAAGCUUGCUUCCACUGAGAAGAUAGUGGCGAACGGGUGAGUAACACGUGGGGUAACCUGCCCAUAAGAGGGGGAUAACAUCCGGAAACGGGUGCUAAUACCGCAUAGUUUUCUUGAUCGCAUGAUUGAGAAAGGAAAGACGGCCUUUGUGCUGUCGCUUAUGGAUGGACCCGCGGCGUAUUAGUUAGUUGGUGAGGUAACGGCUCACCAAGACGAUGAUACGUAGCCGACCUGAGAGGGUGAUCGGCCACAUUGGGACUGAGACACGGCCCAAACUCCUACGGGAGGCAGCAGUAGGGAAUCUUCCGCAAUGGACGAAAGUCUGACGGAGCAACGCCGCGUGAGUGAAGAAAGGUUUUCGGAUCGUAAAACUCUGUUGUCAGAGAAGAACAAGUUGGAGAGUAACUGCUCCAGCCUUGACGGUAUCUGACCAGAAAGCCACGGCUAACUACGUGCCAGCAGCCGC